rnacentral:rRNA from 1 species
GACGAACGCUGGCGGCGUGCUUAACACAUGCAAGUCGAACGGAAAGGCCCUGCUUUUGUGGGGUGCUCGAGUGGCGAACGGGUGAGUAACACGUGAGUAACCUGCCCUUGACUUUGGGAUAACUUCAGGAAACUGGGGCUAAUACCGGAUAGGAGCUCCUGCUGCAUGGUGGGGGUUGGAAAGUUUCGGCGGUUGGGGAUGGACUCGCGGCUUAUCAGCUUGUUGGUGGGGUAGUGGCUUACCAAGGCUUUGACGGGUAGCCGGCCUGAGAGGGUGACCGGGCACAUUGGGACUGAGAUACGGCGCAGACUGCUACGGGAGGCAGCAGUGGGGAAUAUUGCACAAUGGGCGGAAGCCUGAUGCAGCAACGCCGCGUGCGGGAUGACGGCCUUCGGGUUGUAAACCGCUUUCGCCUGUGACGAAGCGUGAGUGACGGUAAUGGGUAAAGAAGCACCGGCUAACUACGUG